rnacentral:rRNA from 1 species
UACGUAGGCGGUCAUUGCAAUUACGUUGUUAAAUACUAGAGCUAAACUUUAGUGCUGCAUGUAAAAGUGACUGGCUUUGAGUUAAGUAGAGGUUUGGAGAAUUUUCAGUGAAGGGGUGAAAUCCGACGAGACUGAAAAGAAUACCAGGGGCGAAGGCGCCAUUCCAUAUUUGACUGACGCUGAGGUACGGAAGCAUGGGGAGCAAACG